GUGAAUCAUUUCUGUAUUUCUUGUCCAUAGAGAAAAAGCCGGACUCUAACAUAGAUUCCGGCUUUUUCUCUAUGGACAAGAAAUACAGAAAUGAAACUGA
rnacentral:pre_miRNA from 1 species